AAAGUAUCAAAGUGUCUUCCUUGUUAAAACCGUGAGUCCUUAUUGCUUGCCAAAAACAAAACCAAAAAGUGUCAAAAACAAAAGUGUCAAAGUGUUCUUCCUUGUUAAAACUGUGAGUCCUUAUUGCUUGCCAAAAACAAAACCAAAAAGUGUCAAAAACAAAAGUGUCAAAGUGUUCUUCCUUGUUAAAACCGUGAGUCCUUAUUGCUUGCCAAAAACAAAACCAAAAAGUGUCAAAAACAAAAGUGUCAAAGUGUUCUUCCUUGUUAAAACCGUGAGUCCUUAUUACUUGCCAAAAACAAAACCAAAAAGUGUCAAAAACAAAGUGUCAAAGUCCCUAAACCGAAAACAAAAAGUGUCAAAACAAAAGUUUCAAAAGUCCAUACACAAAACCGUGUCACAAGUCUUGUUAAAUUGGGUGUUUUCUUUCACAAUUAAGUGAUUCUACCUUGGUUCAUUCAAGAAACCGUGGAGGAGAAGUGAGUGUUGAGUGAAAUACAAGUGAGUUUUGAGAGUUACAUUUUCCACAAAAUUUGAGUGAGUUUGAGUGAUACAUUUUCCACCAAAUAUUCAAAUGAAAUAUAAAGAGAGUUGAGAGAAAAUGUCUAGUGAAAGUAGGAGUCCAAUAAUGUCCCCAAAGACAUCAAAACUUUAUGCUAUGAUGACAAAACAAUUUGAAACCUUAAGAAGGGAUAUGGAGCAAAUGAGAGUGGAGAAUGAUAGGAGGUUUGGAUAUCGUGCAAACGAUUAUUCAAGUGAUGAAGAAGGAGAAAGGAGGAGAUCAAGGAGAGGAGCACGUAGGGAUGAGAAGCUUGAGGGGG
rnacentral:lncRNA from 1 species